CCGUUCGAGGGUACGGUUGCAGUCGUAGCGUCGCAGGGAGCUUAGGCGAGGGCGUGUUUUCGUCGUUCUCGACGCCGCGUCGAUGUCCGAUUAGCCUUUGAGAUGAGUGUUCCGUUGCAUUGCUUCAAGUAUUGUCAUUUUGAACUUGGUGCUGAUUUGCAGAAUUUCCAGCGUCGAUCAUCGGUAUUUCAGUUCGUACUCGGCGUAGGAGCGUCGGAUUUCGACGAGACUUGGUUCGUUGGAUUCGGGACUUCGAGAGGAAUCCAUGAAGCCCUUACUUGCUGGAUUUAGUAAAGGUUUGCUAGAGUUUGGCGGGAGCUUGACUUCGGGCCUUGGGAGGUUUUCGGACGUUUUGGCAGGUUGUUCCGCAGCCGAGGGGAGUUCCGUGCUGCCAGGGAUUAGCGAGCGAGAGCCGCAGGUUCCGGCUGCUGCGCCUUCCGCGGAUCAGGAUCGAGGCAAGGGCG